rnacentral:sRNA from 1 species
UUAAAAGCCAAUGACAACCAUUGUAAAUAAGUUUGAACUCCAGAAUUUAUUUCACAAAAUAGCUGCAAAAAUGUAUAUAUAGAUAGAAAUUGAAUUAGAAUUUUCAUAUAUACUAGAAAA